rnacentral:rRNA from 1 species
UAACACGUGAGGAACGUGCCCCACGAGACCGGGAUAAGCCGAGGAAACUUGGUCUAAUACCGGAUGUCCCCACCGGAUCGCAUGGUCUGGUGAGGAAAUGGAUUCCGCUCUGGGAGCGCCUCGCGGCCUAUCAGCUAGUUGGUGAGGUAACGGCCCACCAAGGCGUCGACGGGUAGCUGGUCUGAGAGGAUGAUCAGCCACACUGGGACUGAGACACGGCCCAG